rnacentral:rRNA from 1 species
GACGAACCGAGCGAACGUUGUUCGGAAUCACUGGGCGUAAAGGGCGCGUAGGCGGCGCAACAAGUCACUUGUGAAAUCUCCGGGCUUAACCCGGAGCGGCCAAGUGAUACUGUCGUGCUAGAGUGCGGAAGGGGCUACUGGAAUUCUCGGUGUAGCGGUGAAAUGCGUAGAUAUCGAGAGGAACACCUGCGGCGAAGGCGGGUAGCUGGGCCGACACUGACGCUGAGGCGCGAAAGCCAGGGGAGCGAACGGG